rnacentral:rRNA from 1 species
UACGUAGGGGGCAAGCGUUGUCCGGAUUUAUUGGGCGUAAAGAGCGUGUAGGCGGCCAUACAGGUCAGCUGUGAAAACUCGAGGCUCAACCUCGAGACGUCGGUUGAAACCGUAUGGCUAGAGUCCGGAAGAGGAGAGUGGAAUUCCCGGUGUAGCGGUGAAAUGCGCAGAUAUCGGGAAGAACACCUAUGGCGAAGGCAGCUCUCUGGUACGUGACUGACGCUGAGACGCGAAAGCGUGGGGAGCAAACAGG